rnacentral:lncRNA from 1 species
CGUACCUUUCUUGUGCACGUUGCCUAAAUCCCAUUGAUCAAUGACUUCCUGCACAAGUUACUGGAAUGCUGUGGGAAGAGGCACAUAAAAUUCCCUGCUCUCAUUUAGCCCUCCUGUCAAAGCUAGAGAAGUCCUGGCCCAGCUUCAGCUACAAAAACAUAUGAAAUAUAUCAGCUGAGGCUGAACGGAAUAGAAACCCAUGGCCAGUCCGGAUAUUGCUGCUUUUUCACUGAAAAGGUUUACUUCCGAAGCCAGUGCGGAUGAUUCAUUCGAGAGCCCAGGUGCUCAGGCAGUCACCAGGUACUACGGUGAAGGGGGCCAAAGCCAGGCUAAAGCUUCAUCUUGGGUACUCGCAAUGAAGUCACCAGAGAGCUGCACGAAGAGUGGAAGCCCUCUCUUGCAAAGGACUUUCAGACUUUGACAUCUGGCUUCAUUUCAAAGAAGAAUGGAGAACAAAAGUGCUCACAUGCUUCUAAUGGGGGCCUGAUUAAAAACAAAAAAAAAACCAACCAAUGGAACAACUAAUAGUAAUUGAUUGCUUCAGCUGUAUGGGAUUCAACUUGAAACACUUUAAAGCAACCCAAGUGCAAGAAGUUAUGGUUAAUGCCUUCAGAAAAUCGGGUUCUUUAUAAGGCAAAACCCUAGUCCACAAAAUGGAGACACAAAACCCCAUAACUCACAAAAAAAUGCAGCUCAGACUAGAAACAUACAUUUUGAGAGAUGGCUGCUGAAACUUUCACAGAAUCAGACUCCACAAAAAACAAACAGCUUCUUGUUUCCCUUUCUAGACAGUUUUGAAGUUGGGUUUUCCUAUUCAAACCGAGCAUCAUUUACAUGGAAACAACUUUAGGGAAAUGCUAACUUGUAAAAGAAAAAUCAACAAAAAUUUCAAUUUUGAUUGUAAAAAAAAAAAAAAGAAAUGCCUAUGUAGAUCUAAAAAUCAGUAAAAUACUUGGCUAUGCUAUUUUUAAACAAACAUGUAUAUGCUUUUUCUUUCACUUACAAGCUCAUGCAAUUAAGUUCCACUUAGUUUUUAAGUUCAACUUUAGUUCUUACUUAGCUAGAAAUAUUUGUUAAAAGACAAAUGCAAGUCGAAAUCUUAUUCUACAGCUGGAUUAGUUUGAUCAUAUAUAUUGCAGCAGCAUAUGCAUCACCAUGCUAGGAAGAAGCCCUGUCUGAAACCCCAUGUCUGUAGGGCUGGAUCAUUUUUUUUGUUUGUUUUUUUUUUUUGUUAAAAUAUUAAAAGGUGGUGUUCACUGGGACUUUCAUAACAGCUUAGAAGCUCUAUGUACAAAGCUACUCAUUCAGAAA